GACGAACGCUGGCGGCGUGCCUAAUACAUGCAAGUAGAACGCUGAAGGAGGAGCUUGCUUCUCCGGAUGAGUUGCGAACGGGUGAGUAACGCGUAGGUAACCUGCCUGGUAGCGGGGGAUAACUAUUGGAAACGAUAGCUAAUACCGCAUAACAGUAGAUAUUGCAUGAUAUCUGCUUGAAAGGUGCAAUUGCAUCACUACCAGAUGGACCUGCGUUGUAUUAGCUAGUUGGUGAGGUAACGGCUCACCAAGGCGACGAUACAUAGCCGACCUGAGAGGGUGAUCGGCCACACUGGGACUGAGACACGGCCCAGACUCCUACGGGAGGCAGCAGUAGGGAAUCUUCGGCAAUGGACGGAAGUCUGACCGAGCAACGCCGCGUGAGUGAAGAAGGUUUUCGGAUCGUAAGGCUCUGUUGUAAGAGAAGAACGAGUGUGAGAGUGGAAAGUUCACACUGUGACGGUAUCUUACCAGAAAGGGACGGCUAACUACGUGCCAGCAGCCGCGGUAAUACGUAGGUCCCGAGCGUUGUCCGGAUUUAUUGGGCGUAAAGCGAGCGCAGGCGGUUAGAUAAGUCUGAAGUUAAAGGCUGUGGCUUAACCAUAGUACGCUUUGGAAACUGUUUAACUUGAGUGCAAGAGGGGAGAGUGGAAUUCCAUGUGUAGCGGUGAAAUGCGUAGAUAUAUGGAGGAACACCGGUGGCGAAAGCGGCUCUCUGGCUUGUAACUGACGCUGAGGCUCGAAAGCGUGGGGAGCAAACAGG
rnacentral:rRNA from 1 species